GCUAACUAGGUGCGAGGAGGGCUGGUAAUACGGAGGGGGCGGUCGUUAAUCGGAAUUACUGGGCGUAAAGCGUGCGCAGGCGGUUUCGUAAGCUGGAGGUGAAAUACCCGGGCUUAACCUGGGAAUGGCCUUCAGGACUGCGAGGCUAGAGUGCAGCAGAGGGAGGUGGAAUUCCACGUGUAGCAGUGAAAUGCGUAGAGAUGUGGAGGAACACCGAUGGCGAAGGCAGCCUCCUGGGCCAGCACUGACGCUCAUGCACGAAAGCGUGGGGAGCAAACAGGAUUAGAUACCCUGGUAGUC
rnacentral:rRNA from 1 species